CCUACGGGAGGCAGCAGUGGGGAAUAUUGGUCAAUGGGCGCAAGCCUGACCCAGCAAAGCCGCGUGAAGGAAGAAGGCCCUCGGGUUUGUAACUUCUUUUAUCCAAGACGCAACAAAUGACGGUACCUGAUGACUAAGCCACGGCUAACUACGGGCCAGCAGCCGCGGUAAUACGUAGGUGGCAGUCGUUAUCCGGAUUUACUGGGUGUCAAGGGCGUUUAGGCGGGAGUGCAAGUCAGACGUGAAAUUCCAGGGCUUAAACCUGGAACUGCGUUUGAAACUGGUCGUCUUGAGUGCUGGAGAGGCAGGCGGAAUGCCGUGUGUAGCGGUGAAAGGCGUAGAUAUACGGCGGAACACCAGUGGCGAAGGCAGCCUGCUGGACAUUAACUGACGCUGAGGCGCGAAAGCGUGGGGAGCGAACAGGAUUAGAUACCCCGGUAGUC
rnacentral:rRNA from 1 species